rnacentral:rRNA from 1 species
GACGAACGCUGGCGGCGUGCUUAACACAUGCAAGUCGAACGGAAAGGCCCUGCUUUUGUGGGGUGCUCGAGUGGCGAACGGGUGAGUAACACGUGAGUAACCUGCCCUUGACUUUGGGAUAACUUCAGGAAACUGGGGCUAAUACCGGAUAGGAGCUCCUGCUGCAUGGUGGGGGUUGGAAAGUUUCGGCGGUUGGGGAUGGACUCGCGGCUUAUCAGCUUGUUGGUGGGGUAGUGGCUUACCAAGGCUUUGACGGGUAGCCGGCCUGAGAGGGUGACCGGCCACAUUGGUACUGAGAUACGCCGCAGACGCCUACGGGCGGCAGUAGUCGGGAAUAUGGCAGAAUGGGCCGGAGCCUGAGAUAGCAACGCCGCGUGCGUGAUAAUGGCUUUCGGGUUGUAAACCGCUUUGUAAGGAGACGAAGCGUGAGUGACGGUAACGGGUAAAAAAGCACCGGCUAACUACGUG